rnacentral:rRNA from 1 species
AGAUUGAACGCUGGCGGCAUGCCUUACACAUGCAAGUCGAACGGCAGCACGGGAGCAAUCCUGGUGGCGAGUGGCGAACGGGUGAGUAAUAUAUCGGAACGUGCCCAGUCGUGGGGGAUAACGUAGAGAAAUUUACGCUAAUACCGCAUACGAUCCAAGGAUGAAAGCGGGGGACCGUAAGGCCUCGCGCGACUGGAGCGGCUGAUAUCAGAUUAGCUUGUUGGUGAGGUAAAAGCUCACCAAGGCGACGAUCUGUAGCUGGUUUGAGAGAACGACCAGCCACACUGGGACUGAGACACGGCCCAGACUCCUACGGGAGGCAGCAGUGGGGAAUUUUGGACAAUGGGCGAAAGCCUGAUCCAGCAAUGCCGCGUGCAGGAAGAAGGCCUUGGUGUAAACUGCUUUGUACGGAGCGAAAAGGUCUGCCCUAAGUACGGCGACCCAGUGACGGUACCGUAAGAAUAAGCACCGGACUAACUACGUGCCAGCAGCCCG